rnacentral:misc_RNA from 1 species
UAUUUAUUGAAAAACAUUUUCAAUAAAUUUUAUUUUAUAUAUACAUUUUAAAAUUAUGUUGCGAAUGUCUUAAGGUUCAUUUUGUUAAAAUUCAUCAUUAUUGAGCGGAAUUAAAACAGGAACCAAAUUAACUUUUACCGGGCGCCCAUUUAUUUUGGACUUCGGAUUAAGUACAACAUUUAUUUUAAAUGUACAAUAUAUAUAUAUAUA